GACGAACGCUGGCGGCGUGCUUAACACAUGCAAGUCGAACGAAGAGCGAUGGAAGCUUGCUUCUAUCAAUCUUAGUGGCGAACGGGUGAGUAACGCGUAAUCAACCUGCCCUUCAGAGGGGGACAACAGUUGGAAACGACUGCUAAUACCGCAUACGAUCUAAACUCGGCAUCGAGGAUAGAUGAAAGGUGGCCUCUACAUGUAAGCUAUCACUGAAGGAGGGGAUUGCGUCUGAUUAGCUAGUUGGAGGGGUAACGGCCCACCAAGGCGAUGAUCAGUAGCCGGUCUGAGAGGAUGAACGGCCACAUUGGGACUGAGACACGGCCCAGACUCCUACGGGAGGCAGCAGUGGGGAAUCUUCCGCAAUAGACGAAAGUCUGACGGAGCAACGCCGCGUGAGUGAUGACGGCCUUCGGGUUGUAAAGCUCUGUUAAUCGGGACGAAAGGCCUUCUUGCGAAUAGUGAGAAGGAUUGACGGUACCGGAAUAGAAAGCCACGGCUAACUACGUG
rnacentral:rRNA from 1 species